GUAACAGAUAAAUGGAAAAAUGCUUAACAUCUCUAACCUAUGGGAAAAUGCAAACCAAACUACAAUGAGAUAUUACCUCACCCCCUUUAAAAUGGUUAGUAUAAAAAAGAUGAGACAUAUGUUAUCAAGGAUGUGGAGAAAGGGAACCCUGUCGAAUGUGCAGGCUGGGAAUGUAAAUUAUAGCCAUUUUGGAAGACAGUAUGGAGGUUCCCCAAACAAAACUAGAAUUAUCACACGAUCUAACAAUUCGUUUGUGUAUACAGGAAUAGGAUUUAGUAUCAGUGUGUUGCUGGUCUCUCUGUAUCACAUGCUAAUUUCGGCAUUAUUUACAAUAGCUAAUGGUAUGGAAGCAACCUAAAUGUCCACCAAGAUAAAUGAAUAACGAAAAUGUGGAACGUAUACAUAAUGGAAUACUACAUGACCUUUAAAAAGGGAAAUUCUGGGGAUGGAGAUGUAGCUCAAUAGUAGUGCUUGCCUAGUACAUACAAAGCCUUGGAUUGGAUCCCCAGCACUGAAAGGGGGGAGGGCAUUCUGUGGAGAACCAUAUGUUACAUGAAAGAUAAAUACCACGUGAUCUCACUUAACAGUUGUAAAGUAUAAAAAUGUUGAACUCAUACAAGCAGGGAAUAGAAUGGUGGCCACCAGAAGCUAGAGGUGAGGGAGGAAUGGAGAAAGUGGAGGUAUUGGUUGAAUGGUACAAAGUUUCAUUUAGAGUGGAGCAGUAAGCUUUAGUGAUCAAUUGCACAGCCUGGUAACCUCAGUUGAUAACACUGUAUUGUUUAUUUCAGAACUGCUAAGAACAAACGUUCUCACCACAAACACCCAAGUGUGUGAGGUGAUGACUAGGUGGAUUAGCUUCAUUUAAUCUGUCUACAAUUACGCAUGUAUCAAAACAGCACACUGUACACUAUAAACAUAUACAAUUAUUUUUCAACAGAAAAUUUAAAAAAUUUGAGGAAUGGAAAAACACAUGGUAAAGAAUAUUGCAAAGGAACUAUAAAAACUUUCACAGGCGUUCAACUUUUGGGUAACUGAGCUACAUAAGCGCAAUAACCCCUGGUGUUUACACUGGUGGACUCCAUGCCCUCUCGGCCUCCACCGCCUGCUCUCCAGGUUACCGGUGACCUCUACCAGGUGACCCCUACCAGCCUCCGACCAGCUGAUCACUUUACUGGGAAAUGCCUGCUUCCCCUGGCUUGUGGCCCCUCACCCUUUCCUGGUCGUCCUCCUGCCCUCCGGAUCUCCCAUCCUCCUAGGGCUCCUCAGCCUGGCCCCACGCUUGGCACUGUCCCCACGUAAGUGUCCCCACGCCGCCUCCUCCCAAAGUCUCGCCAUCCUGCAGCCCGACGCCCGGACCCGGACUCUGACCCUGACCCCUCGCUUUCUCCCACGCCCCACAGCCAGCAAAUCCUGACCGCUCCGCUCCACCUUCACACAGUGUUCCGAAUCCGGACCCCAUCCCGUCCUCCGCCACUCCUGGCCUGAACACAGCGGCCCGGGCCCCUGCUCCGAUCCCGGCCGCUGCACCCGCGCCGGGCUGAGGCCUACUCCGGGCGCCUGGGCCGCCCCGCGCCUCCCCCGAGUCCGCCCAGGAAGCUGCUCGCUGCCCCUAGCCAUCUCUCGCGACCUGUCCCCUCCGCUGUCCCCGAGACCUCCCUCUGGCAGACCCCUCAGCCCAGAACACCUCGUCGCCACCCCCGCGUCUUCUCCCCCGGUCGGCGGCGACCCCACCGUCUCAGGCCUGGGCUUCCGGCGGCCCCGGGUCGCGCGUGCGCACUGCGACCGGCGCGCUCUCGGCCCGGACGCGGCCUGGCGGAGCUGAUGGGGGUCCCGCUCCCGGCUGGGCCGCCUGGGCGGCACCUCAGGCCCGGACUCACCUGCAGGCGGCGGGCGGCGCGGAGGCCUGAUAGGAGACUCGCGUCCCGCCCCAGCUGCAGCGGCCCCUGCCGGAGACGCAGACCCCCACCCGGCUCCAGUCCCAAGGCUCUAGCUCCUCUGCCCUGUCCUGUUCACUGCUGGACGAUUGUUUCUUUUUUCUUUUCUUUUUUUUAAACUCUUUUUUAGAGAACGACGGGUUGCGGGCGGGCGUGUUUGCUUGCUUCCUCUUUCUGACCUCCCAAGGUUCACUCCUGCCCAGAUCACCAGGUAGACAUCGAGUUCCAGGGAUGUGCUUGUUGUGCCAGGAAGGUCUGUUGUGUGUGUAGUGUUCCAUCAUGCUUGCCUAACUCCAUAUCUGAAGGUCUGUUUUAUCCCUCUCCUCUGCUUUUGUAUUUCUGCUUGCCAACUUCCCUCUGACAUCUCCUAUAAAAGGACCUCAGGCUCUGAGCCUCUUGCCUCUCUAAACUUGGAGCUUGGAGAGUGCCAUCUGGCCAGACUAAUAAAGGUCUGUUUUACAGCUUGUCCGGUGUGUUCCCUCCCGGGUGAUCUUCGCUGUAGUUAGCUCCUCGGAGCGUUUGGUGAGGCCCACGGUCUUACACAGCCCACUACAUACACCAGCUCUCAACAUGUGUCCUAUUGCUUUUGGUAUUAACCACCAUAUGGUAAUCCUUU
ensembl:lncRNA